GAUCUCUGGUGAUGUCUCGCACUGGGCUCAGAGGAAUCAGUGCUGACAGAAGUGCAGCUCUGCUCCUGACAUGGCGGAGUCUGAAGAGAUA
ensembl:snoRNA